rnacentral:rRNA from 1 species
GACAGAGGGUGCGAACGUGCUCGGAAUUACUGGGCGUAAAGCGUGCGCAGGCGGUUCGUUGUGUCGGCGGUGAAAGCCCCGGGCUUAACCUGGGAAUGGCCGUUGAAACUGGCGAACUGGAGUGUGGCAGGAGGGGGGUGGAAUUCCGCGUGUAGCAGUGAAAUGCGUAGAGAUGCGGAGGAACACCGAUGGCGAAGGCAGCCCCCUGGGCUAACACUGACGCUCAGGCACGAAAGCGUGGGGAGCAAACAGG